AUUGAACGCUGGCGGCAGGCUUAACACAUGCAAGUCGAACGAGUGGCGGACGGGUGAGUAAUGCUUGGGAAUCUAGCUUAUGGAGGGGGAUAACUACGGGAAACUGUAGCUAAUACCGCGUACCAUAGGAUGAGCCCAAGUGGGAUUAGGUAGUUGGUGAGGUAAAGGCUCACCAAGCCGACGAUCUCUAGCUGGUCUGAGAGGAUGACAAGACAGACUAGGAGUUGGACACGGCCCGGACACCGACGGGAGGCAGCAGUGGGGAAAAUUGCGCACUGGAGGGAACCUGACGCGUCCAUGCCGCGUGAAUGAAGAAGGCCUUCGGGUUGUAAAGUUCUUUCGUUAGCGAGGCGUUAACUACAGAAGAAGCACCGGCUAACUCCGUGCCAGCAGCCGCGGUAAUAC
rnacentral:rRNA from 1 species